rnacentral:rRNA from 1 species
AUACGGAGGGGACAAGCGUUAUUCGGAAUCACUGGGCGUAAAGGACGCGUAGGCGGGUUAUUAAGUCGGGUGUGAAAUCCAAUGGCUCAACCAUUGAACUGCAUUCGAAACUGAUAACCUAGAGUAUGGAAGGGGCAGGUGGAAUUAGUGGUGUAGGGGUAAAAUCCGUAGAUAUCACUAGGAAUACCGAAAGCGAAGGCGACCUGCUGGGACAUUACUGACGCUGAGGCGUGAAAGCGUGGGGAGCAAACAGGAUUAGAAACCCGAGUAGUCC